rnacentral:lncRNA from 1 species
CGGAGAGCAGAGAGGGAGCGCGCCUUGGCUCGCUGGCCUUGGCGGCGGCUCCUCAGGAGAGCUGGGGCGCCCACGAGAGGAUCCCUCACCCGGGUCUCUCCUCAGGGAUGACAUCAUCCGUCCACCUCCUUGUCUUCAAGGACCACCUCCUCUCCAUGCUGAGCUGCUGCCAAGGGGCCUGCUGCCCAUCUACACCUCACGAGGGCACUAGGAGCACGGUUUCCUGGAUCCCACCAACAUACAAAGCAGCCACUCACUGACCCCCAGGACCAGGAUGGCAAAGGAUGAAGAGGACCGGAACUGACCAGCCAGCUGUCCCUCUUACCUAAAGACUUAAACCAAUGCCCUAGUGAGGGGGCAUUGGGCAUUAAGCCCUGACCUUUGCUAUGCUCAUACUUUGACUCUAUGAGUACUUUCCUAUAAGUCUUUGCUUGUGUUCACCUGCUAGCAAACUGGAGUGUUUCCCUCCCCAAGGGGGUGUCAGUCUUUGUCGACUGACUCUGUCAUCACCCUUAUGAUGUCCUGAAUGGAAGGAUCCCUUUGGGAAAUUCUCAGGAGGGGGACCUGGGCCAAGGGCUUGGCCAGCAUCCUGCUGGCAACUCCAAGGCCCUGGGUGGGCUUCUGGAAUGAGCAUGCUACUGAAUCACCAAAGGCACGCCCGACCUCUCUGAAGAUCUUCCUAUCCUUUUCUGGGGGAAUGGGGUCGAUGAGAGCAACCUCCUAGGGUUGUUGUGAGAAUUAAAUGAGAUAAAAGAGGCCUCAGGCAGGAUCUGGCAUAGAGGAGGUGAUCAGCAAAUGUUUGUUGAAAAGGUUUGACAGGUCAGUCCCUUCCCACCCCUCUUGCUUGUCUUACUUGUCUUAUUUAUUCUCCAACAGCACUCCAGGCAGCCCUUGUCCACGGGCUCUCCUUGCAUCAGCCAAGCUUCUUGAAAGGCCUGUCUACACUUGCUGUCUUCCUUCCUCACCUCCAAUUUCCUCUUCAACCCACUGCUUCCUGACUCGCUCUACUCCGUGGAAGCACGCUCACAAAGGGCUAAUCUCGGGCCUUGUCGAAGGAAGAGGCUGCAGACGUUAAUGAGGUUAGCUGCUGGAUUCCAGUAUUCGUCGCAUAAGGAUCCUUCUUUGUCUGCGAAGGAAAAACACACUGAUUAUCAUAAUGAGUUCCUGACCUGGCCAUCCCGGGGUGCCCUUGACCAGCCCCGUGUCUCCUCAGGGUGUCCCAGCACCAGCCUGGCACAGAGUGGGGCUCAGUUAGAGUAUGUGGGAUGUUGGUUUCGCCAGGCACGUGGGCCGUGGCCCGGCUGGGUCGGCUGAAGAACUGCGGAUGGAAGCUGCGGAAGAGGCCCUGAUGGGGCCCACCAUCCCGGACCCAAGUCUUCUUCCUGGCGGGCCUCUCGUCUCCUUCCUGGUUUGGGCGGAAGCCAUCACCUGGAUGCCUACGUGGGAAGGGACCUCGAAUGUGGGACCCCAGCCCCUCUCCAGCUCGAAAUCCCUCCACAGCCACGGGGACACCCUGCACCUAUUCCCACGGGACAGGCUGGACCCAGAGACUCUGGACCCGGGGCCUCCCCUUGAGUAGAGACCCGCCCUCUGACUGAUGGACGCCGCUGACCUGGGGUCAGACCCGUGGGCUGGACCCCUGCCCACCCCGCAGGAACCCUGAGGCCUAGGGGAGCUGUUGAGCCUUCAGUGUCUGCAUGUGGGAAGUGGGCUCCUUCACCUACCUCACAGGGCUGUUGUGAGGGGCGCUGUGAUGCGGUUCCAAAGCACA